GUUGUGCAUGAUUAAUUGCUUUAGCACUACACCACACAAUAACCCGUGGCUGGACUUGGGCCACUAGUUUUAGGAUGGUAUUGAGAUUGGUUCUAGCGUUCACCGUGGGAUCAUGGUCGAAAGUUAGUCCAAAUUCAAUCCCGAAUCUUUUUCCAAAAAUGAGUUUAAAAAAUUAGAACUCAUGCCCGGUAGGAUUACCGAAGCAAGAGUUAUGAUUUUUAACUCGAGAAGCCGCUGUGAAAUGACGCGGCUAAUCCUGGUUACAUCGUAGGAUUACGAUUAAUCUUGAUUAUGUGCGCGAGAUUGUCGCCUUGCCGCAAGUCUUUUGCUUCAAUUUGUCAGCCUCUAGGAUAGAUAGAAUAAGGUUAACUUACGAAUCAUGUGCAUGUCCAGGUGAUUACAUGAGAUUUUUGGCGGUGAA